UGCCUGUUUGGGUCUAGGGUGGCAAUAUACUGAGGACAGUUUCUCUUCCAGUGCCUCCGCUUCUUGCAAAAGAAGCAUUCAGCUUGACUCUUAUCGGGCUUGAUCUUUUUGGUCUGGCCCUGCACUGAUGUCCCAGCCUGAACUUGCACCUUCUUCACUUUCUUCUUCUUGUUCUUCUUUCUUUUCUUAAAGGGUCGAGAACCAGAAGAUGAACCUCCCACU
rnacentral:lncRNA from 1 species